UAAGUUAUCGUUUAUUUGAUAGUACCUUACUACUUGGAUAACCGUGGUAAUUCUAGAGCUAAUACAUGCUAAAAAUCCCGACUUCGGAAGGGAUGUAUUUAUUAGAUUAAAAACCAAUGCCCUCUGGGCUCUUUGGUGAUUCAUGAUAACUUCUCGAAUCGCACGGCCUUGCGCCGGCGAUGGUUCAUUCAAAUUUCUUCCCUAUCAACUUUCGAUGUUUGGGUAUUGGCCAAACAUGGUUGCAACGGGUAACGGAGGGUUAGGGCUCGACCCCGGAGAAGGAGCCUGAGAAACGGCUACUACAUCCAAGGAAGGCAGCAGGCGCGCAAAUUACCCAAUCCCGACACGGGGAGGUAGUGACAAUAAAUACUGAUACAGGGCUCUUUUGGGUCUUGUAAUUGGAAUGAGUACAAUUUAAAUCCCUUAACGAGGAACAAUUGGAGGGCAAGUCUGGUGCCAGCAGCCGCGGUAAUUCCAGCUCCAAUAGCGUAUAUUAAAGUUGUUGUGGUUAAAAAGCUCGUAGUUGAACCUUGGGCCUGGCUGGCCGGUCCGCCUCACCGCGUGUACUGGUCCGGCCGGGCCUUUCCCUCUGUGGAACCUCAUGCCCUUCACUGGGUGUGACGGGGAAACAGGACUUUUACUUUGAAAAAAUUAGAGUGCUCCAGGCAGGCCUAUGCUCGAAUACAUUAGCAUGGAAUAAUAAAAUAGGACGUGUGGUUCUAUUUUGUUGGUUUCUAGGACCGCCGUAAUGAUUAAUAGGGACAGUCGGGGGCAUCAGUAUUCAAUUGUCAGAGGUGAAAUUCUUGGAUUUAUUGAAGACUAACUACUGCGAAAGCAUUUGCCAAGGAUGUUUUCAUUAAUCAGGAACGAAAGUUAGGGGAUCGAAGACGAUCAGAUACCGUCGUAGUCUUAACCAUAAACUAUGCCGACUAGGGAUCGGACGAUGUUAUUUUU
rnacentral:rRNA from 1 species